rnacentral:rRNA from 1 species
GAUGAACGCUGGCGGCGUGCCUAAUACAUGCAAGUCGAGCGAACAGACGAUUCUCUUGCUCCUCUUACGUUAUCGGCGGACGUGUGUUUAACACGUUUUUAACCUACCUAUAAGACUUGUAUAACUUCGGGAAACCGUAUCUAAUACCGUAUAAUAUAUUGCACCUCAUGGUUCAAUAGUUUAUGACGUUUUUUCUGUCACUUAUAUAUUUUUCCGCGCCGCAUUAGCUAGUUGGUAAGGUAACGGCUUACCAAGGCAACGAUGCUUAGCCGACAUGAGAGGGUGAUCGGCCAAAGUGGAACUGAGACACGGUCCAGACUACUACGGGAGGCAGCAGAAGGGAAUAUGCCGCAAAGGGCGAAAGCAUGACGGAGCAAAGCCGCGUGAGUGAAGAAGGUCUUCGGAUCGUAAAACUCUGUUAGUAGGGAAGAAAAAAAGUGUAAGUAAAUAUGCACGUCUUGACGGUAACAAAUCAGAAAGCAACGGCUAACUACGUG